UUGCUAUCUGCUAUCUGGAUGAUUCGAACCUGCAGCAGGUUCGAGCCGAACGCAGUGAGGCACCGGAGCCGUUUGCAGUGAGGCACCGGAGCCGUUUACGGCGACGGCCCGAAGGGCGAGCGAAGCGAGUCAUCCUGCACGACCCACCA
rnacentral:sRNA from 1 species